GGCGUCCUGCUCCAGUUGGCUGUAGUGCCGGCUUUAUGCGGGGCGAGCAUCCGGCCGUUCCCCGCCGGGGCGGAGCCUGAGGGGUGGCUGAUUCAUGCAGGGGGGCUGUGACCCUGCCGCCCCUGCUGCAAACUGUGCUGGGCUGUUCAGAGGGGGCGUUUGUGUCGGUGAUGGGAAAUCUGCGAGCUAGAGGGAAAUGACCUGCGGGUGAUUGUGCCUUGAAGAAGCCUGAAUCCACUUUUUGAAGCCAUGAAGUCCAGUUCCUGUUUUUGAGAUACACCCAGGUCAUUGCAUCAACAGUCUGUUCCUGUUCCUUUUAAUUCCUGCAUACUAGUCCAAAAUAUGAAUGUACCAAAAUGUAUGAAUAUCCUACAAUAUAUAUGUUGCUGAGUGUAUCAGUCUCUUCCUUUAAAUUGUUGAGUAAUAUUCUAACAUAUGAAUAUACCACAAAUGUCCUGUUACUGGAAUUUGUGAUUCUAGUUUGUUUGGGGGCUCUUACGAAUAAAGCUGAGUUGUGUGGACAUGCAACUUUUAUU